GCUCAAUUGGUUAAGCGUCCAACUCUUGAUUUUGACUCAGGUCAUUAUUUCAUGGUUUGUGGGUUGAAGUCCUACAUGGAGCU
rnacentral:tRNA from 1 species